ensembl:lncRNA
CUGGAAUGCAGGGGAUUCCCAGCGAAUUAGUGAUAGGACAAGAGCCUCAUCCUGCAGCCCUAUGGAGCUCACCCCUCCAUCACCCUCAAUCCUCUGAGGAACCACUGCUCCAGCAGCACUCAGGAGAAGGCAGUCCGUGUCCCCAGGAGCCACAGGCAGUUCUGCUGGAACCAGCAGUGAGAGGUCACACACACUCCUCCAGUGCCUUCCAAAUUGACUUUUGGACAUGCAAACACACAUCUGGAAAGAGCAGCUUUCAUGUGGGAUGAGCUUGCUGGCUGAUCUGCUUGCACACUGUAGGUCCAACAUGGGCUGGGAUUGAGGGAGAGCACACAGAUCUGCAGUUGUGCAGCUGGAGAUAGCUGAGACUUUCUCA